UACGGGGGGGGCAAGCGUUGUUCGGAAUUACUGGGCGUAAAGGGCUCGUAGGCGGCCAACUAAGUCAGACGUGAAAUCCCUCGGCUUAACCGGGGAACUGCGUCUGAUACUGGUUGGCUUGAAUCCGGGAGAGGGAUGUGGAAUUCCAGGUGUAGCGGUGAAAUGCGUAGAUAUCGGGAAGAACACCGGUGGCGAAGGCGGCUCGCUGGGCCGUUGCUGACGCUGAGGCGCGAAAGCGUGGGGAGCAAACAGG
rnacentral:rRNA from 1 species